UCUCCAGGAAACCAAGAAGGAAAACAAUCAGCUCUGUUCUCCUCUCUGGGCUGGGGGAGUGAGCUAUAAUAAGGGAGCAGAAGAACACAUUGGGAGCCCGCAAGCCCAAACACACAGGUUUGAGAGAGCAUCAUGGAAUUCCUUCCAAGGAUGCAAGAGGAAGAAGAAUCUCUUUCAAUUUCCAGUAGAAUUCAUUGCAGUGAGUUUAUGCCAACAAUUGAUCCCAGCACCUGUGUGCAGGACCUGCUGCUUUUGGAACCCAACUGCCAUGAUGUGAGAAGCCCAAGUCACAUGGAGAAGCUCUACCUAUACUCCCUGCCAACAGCCAACAUCAAUUGCUAGUCAUGGGAGUGAGCCAUCUUGGCCAUCCAGCCCAACUGAGGAUGACUGCAACUGCCUGAGAGAUCCCACACAACUCACAGAAAUGUUCAGUCAACUCACAGAAAUGCGAGAGACAAUAUUAAAUUUAAGUUUUCAGGUGGUUUGUUAUACAGCUGUAGGUAACAGGGAUUUUAAAAAUACCAAUUUUAUUCAUUCAAACAGGUCUUUUAUCUUUCUGUUAGUCUUAUAAGGGAAAUUCUGCUUUCUGUUUUCUCUAUUUUGCUCCUGGAAUCCUUCAGUCUGUAUUGAAGUUUGAUAGGUGACUUCUCUUAGGAAGAGCUGAAAGACACUGCUAGAUAUAUUCUCAAUUCAAAAUGAAACACUUAUUUUAGUGGAGUGAAGAUGUGAUUCCGGCAAUAUUUAAAAGUAAACCAUAAUGAGGGGUACACUAGGGGUACUACAGUUCAUUGAAAAAUGCACUCUCAUUAUCAGGUAGGUGUAGACAGAUAUUUGUGUUCAGAAAGAAAAAAAAAAAAAAACCAGUACAGACACAUUGAAUCCAAGUUAAGAAAGUAUAAUAAAUAUCAUAAAAAACCUCAUGUUACUAUGAUGUUAUUAAUAUGGAGAAAUGGAAAUAGUGAAUGAAUUCCUUAUGUUUUUACACUUCUGGUUGCUUAGUAUUUCCAUACUAAAUAAAAAGUGUGUAGUAACAUUUUACUCUCUUGUGCCCAUAUGUAUGUGGCUAAAGCCAAUUUGUUCAUAAGUAUGAUAAUUAUCUAAUUCUACAUAGGAAAAGCUCUUCUCAUUAUGAGAAUAAAGUUUCUAAUUCCUGUAAAAAGAACUUUCAAAUAUUCUUAGGCACAAAGUCAAUGCAUGAGCUUCAAAUCUCCUUUGUUUUUAAAAUUGGAAUCAAUAGUUUGAGAGCUACAGCUUCAUAAGGAAGUAAUCGCAUUAGUCACCCUCUUGGCACUACAAGGGUAUUAAUCUUUUCCUUUCAUCAGCCUCUCUGACUCUUUCACAAUUUUAUAAGAUCCCCCACAAAGCCAAAUUAAUAGUGUAUUUUUCUUCAAAACUCGUGAAUGUGCAAUUAAUAAUCAAUGAUCUUGGGAGAAUAAAAGAAACUACUUUACAAUUUCUAGAUCAUUUUGAUGGGCAGCUGAAUUCCGUGAGAUAUUUGAAGAAGUAGCCUCCUCCUGUUAUACUUUUAUUACAGACAAAUUGGAUUGAAAAUUUAUUGCCCAGAUUAAGCGAUUGUCUUAU
ensembl:lncRNA